rnacentral:rRNA from 1 species
GACGAACGCUGGCGGCGUGCUUAACACAUGCAAGUCGAACGGAAAGGCCCUACUUUGGUGGGGUGCUCGAGUGGCGAACGGGUGAGUAACACGUGAGUAACCUGCCCUUCACUUUGGGAUAACUUUAGGAAACUGGGGCUAAUACCGGAUAGGAGCUCCUGCUGCAUGGUGGGGGUUGGAAAGUUUCGGCGGGUGGGGUUGGCUUCGCGGCUUAUCAGCUUGUUGGUGGGGUAUUGGCUUACCAAGCCGUUGACGGGUAGCCGGCCGGGGGGGGUGACCGGCCACAUUGGGACGGGGAUACGGCCCGAACUCCUACGGGAGGCAGAGGUGGGGAUUAUGGCACAAGGGGCGGAAGCCGGAUGCAGCAAGGCCGCUGGCGGGAUGACGGCCUUCGGGUUGUAAACCGCUUUCGCCGGGGACGAAGCGUGAGUGACGGUAAUUGGUAAAGAAGCACCGGCUAACUACGUG